rnacentral:rRNA from 1 species
GACGAACGCUGGCGGCGUGCUUAACACAUGCCAGUCGAACGGUGAAGCCCUUCGGGGUGGCUCAGUGGCGAACGGGUGAGUAACACGUGAGCAACCUGCCCCUGGCUCUGGGACAACCACUGGAAACGGUGGCUAAUACCGGAUACGACCCGCCUCGGCAUCGAGUGUGGGUGGAAAGUUUUUCGGCUGGGGAUGGGCUCGCGGCCUAUCAGCUUGUUGGUGAGGUGAAGGCUCACCAAGGCGACGACGGGUAGCCGGCCUGAGAGGGCGACCGGCCACACUGGGACUGAGACACGGCCCAGACUCCUACGGGAGGCAGCAGUGGGGAAUAUUGCACAAUGGGCGAAAGCCUGAUGCAGCGACGCCGCGUGAGGGAUGACGGCCUUCGGGUUGUAAACCUCUUUCAGCUCCGAAGAAGCGAAAGUGACGGUAGGAGCAGAAGAAGCACCGGCUAACUACGUG